AAACUAAGGAGUUUGAGAUGUAGAAUGCAAUUUUAGAGACUGAGAUGUGGAAAUACAAUUUAAGGACUAAUGCAGAAAAACAAUUUGAAGACUGCGAUGUAGAAUUAAAAUGACUUGCAUUUACUUUGGAAGAAAUUUAGUUAAUGCUAAUUGCUGAGACGUUUCUUUUUGGGGUUUCUUUCUUCAUUUGCUUAAAAAGUAGGUUUUUUCCUUCCAUCUUCUAUUUUAAUCAGGACUUCUUGGUUGUGCAUCAUUGUUAUCCCUAGUAACCUACAUAAUACUAUACGUCAUUUACUGUUGGUGAAUUUAAAAACAUGCUUAUUAUUGAAAAUGCCUUUGUUCCAUUGUCAAUGGCAUUAGAAUCAUCAGGUAAGAUUUCUUUGGUAACUCGAGAGAAUGUGAAUGCUUGGUUAGAAGCUCUAAAGUUGUAUUAUGUGAUCUUGAUUUGGAACUCCAUCUUAUUUUCAACAAUUUCGUUAAAAUUUUGCUCAUCAUCUAUUUCCUGAUUUAAUAUAAAUAUAAAUUAGAACGACCCAUUAUCUGUAGAUAUUUUUUAGGUUGUAUCAACAAUUUCUUGUUUUUAUUGUUACCUCUGAGGCUGUGAGCUCUUCAGUUGUGUUGUGAGUGAGUUUUUUAAGAUCUUUGUCAAAUAAGAUGAAUAUGGUUGUUCUAUCUCCACUUUGAACCUCUAAUUCCACUUUAAACCUGUAUAACACACAAUUUUAUUAGAUUUUGAUUUUGAUUUUGUUUGGGAAAAAGAAUAUGAGUACUUUACUUUCAAACUCAUAUUGUUGUGUUUUUUUUACAAAAAUUGCAGACCAAAGAUGUUGCAGUUUGCUUGAGUUUCUUUUAGCAUGAAGUAGAAGAUAAAUAUUUCCAUCCAUUGCAGAGUUUCUUUGAGCAUGAAGCAGAAGAUAAAUAUUUGCAUCCAUUGCAGCCACAUAUUCUAGUAACUUCUGCUUGACAGAAGACUUUUUUUUCCUGUACUUUUUGCAUUCCAUUAUAGCAUCAUCAGUGUCUAAUACUCUUGUUAUAUAAUAUAUUUUAUUACAAUUUAUAGAGAUGACAGAAUUACAUACCUGGCUAGAUCCACUAGGUAUGUAAUCAAAUAUCUAAGCAUAUUCCUAAUUUCCAUAAUAUUUGCUAUAGUUUUCUCCUCAAGAAUUUUUGGAUAACUUGAAUUCUCUUCUAUUUCCAUGAUGUAUGAAAUUUUUUCAUACAUGUAACUAAUUAGUAUAUGAAAA
rnacentral:sRNA from 1 species